rnacentral:rRNA from 1 species
GACGAACGCUGGCGGCGUGCUUAACACAUGCAAGUCGAACGGUAAGGCUCCAGCUUGCUGGGGUACACGAGUGGCGAACGGGUGAGUAACACGUGGGUGACCUGCCCUGCACUUCGGGAUAAGCCUGGGAAACUGGGUCUAAUACCGGAUAGGACUGCACCGUGAGGGUGUGGUGGAAAGUUUUUUCGGUGUGGGAUGGGCCCGCGGCCUAUCAGCUUGUUGGUGGGGUAAUGGCCUACCAAGGCGGCGACGGGUAGCCGGCCUGAGAGGGUGGACGGCCACAUUGGGACUGAGACACGGCCGAGACUCCUACGGGGGGCAGCAGUGGGGAAUAUUGCACAAUGGGCGGAAGCCUGAUGCAGCGACGCCGCGUGGGGGAUGACGGCCUUCGGGUUGUAAACUCCUUUCACCAUCGACGAAGGGUUUCUGACGGUAGAUGGAGAAGAAGCACCGGCUAACUACGUG